rnacentral:rRNA from 1 species
GACGAACGCUGGCGGCGUGCCUAAUACAUGCAAGUAGAACGCUGAAGCUUGGUGCUUGCACCGAGCGGAUGAGUUGCGAACGGGUGAGUAACGCGUAGGUAACCUGCCUGGUAGCGGGGGAUAACUAUUGGAAACGAUAGCUAACACCGCAUAAGAGUAGAUGUUGCAUGACAUUUGCUUAAAAGGUGCAAUUGCAUCACUACCAGAUGGACCUGCGUUGUAUUAGCUAGUUGGUGAGGUAACGGCUCACCAAGGCAACGAUACAUAGCCGACCUGAGAGGGUGAUCGGCCACACUGGGACUGAGACACGGCCCAGACUCCUACGGGAGGCAGCAGUAGGGAAUCUUCGGCAAUGGACGGAAGUCUGACCGAGCAACGCCGCGUGAGUGAAGAAGGUUUUCGGAUCGUAAAGCUCUGUUGUAAGAGAAGAACGAGUGUGAGAGUGGAAAGUUCACACUGUGACGGUAUCUUACCAGAAAGGGACGGCUAACUACGUG